rnacentral:rRNA from 1 species
CCGAAUUGUAGUUAAAAGAAGCGUUUUCGGUGGCAGCCUGGGUAUAAAUCCUUUGGAAUAGGGUAUCAUAGAGGGUGAGAAUCCCGUCUUUGACUCAGUGCAUGCUACUAUGUGAUACGUUUUCAAAGAGUCGAGUUGUUUGGGAAUGCAGCUCAAAAUGGGUGGUAAAUUUCAUCUAAAGCUAAAUAUUGGCGAGAGACCGAUAGCGAACAAGUACCGUGAGGGAAAGAUGAAAAGAACUUUGAAAAGAGAGUUAAACAGUGCGUGAAAUUGUUGAAAGGGAAACGCUUGACACCAGUCAUGCGGGUGGAAAAUCAGUCUUUUGAAGUAGGGAGGGGUAAGGGUUCAGACCGCAAGGCUGGCCACUGCUUCAUCUUUGCUUUAAGUGAUGCACUUUUUCAUUUGCAGGUCAACAUCAGUUUCUUUUGCUGGACAAAACUCCGAGAGAAGGUAGCAGCUUAGGCUGUGUUAUAGCUCUGGAGCGAUACAGUGGAGGGGACUGAGGUUUUCACAGCAAGUGCU